UACGUAGGGCGCAAGCGUUGUCCGGAAUUAUUGGGCGUAAAGAGCUCGUAGGCGGCUUGUCACGUCGGGUGUGAAAGCCCGGGGCUUAACCCUGGGUCUGCAUUCGAUACGGGCUAGCUAGAGUGUGGUAGGGGAGAUCGGAAUUCCUGGUGUAGCGGUGAAAUGCGCAGAUAUCAGCAGGAACACCGGUGGCGAAGGCGGAUCUCUGGGCCAUUACUGACGCUGAGGAGCGAAAGCGUGGGGAGCGAACAGG
rnacentral:rRNA from 1 species